rnacentral:lncRNA from 1 species
UAAGAGAUUUGCUUUUUGGGAGUUCAAGAAAAGCUGUGACCCCUAAAAAAUAAAGUAUGCUGCAAACCGUAUAUUCCCUGUUUGGACCUUUUAAUUCUUACGAUGAAUUUUCAACUCUUUUACUGUCAAAAAGAAACUUUGGUUUUAACCCAUUUUACCCCCAUUACCCCAAUUUUUUUUUUAACUCCAAACCCCAAUAAAUAAAAAAAUAAAAAAAAGUAACCAUACAAAACUCUAAACCCUCAGGGUAACUUUAUCUUUAUUUCCUCUUAACCCAAC